UGGGGAAUAUUGCACAAUGGGCGCAAGCCUGAUGCAGCCAUGCCGCGUGUGUGAAGAAGGCCUUCGGGUUGUAAAGCACUUUCAGCGAGGAGGAAGGGUUCAGUGUUAAUAGCACUGUUCAUUGACGUUACUUGCAGAAGAAGCACCGGCUAACUCCGUGCCAGCAGCCGCGGUAAUACGGAGGGUGCAAGCGUUAAUCGGAAUUACUGGGCGUAAAGCGCACGCAGGCGGUUUGUUAAGUCAGAUGUGAAAUCCCCGCGCUUAACGUGGGAACUGCAUUUGAAACUGGCAAGCUAGAGUCUUGUAGAGGGGGGUAGAAUUCCCAGGUGUAGCGGUGAAAUGCGUAGAGAUCUGGAGGAAUACCGGUGGCGAAGGCGGCCCCCCUGGACAAAGACUGACGCUCAGGUGCGAAAGCGUGGGGAGCAAAACAGGAUUAGAUACCC
rnacentral:rRNA from 1 species